GCCAGGCACAGUGGUGUAUGCCUGUAAUCCCAGUGGCUUGGGAGGCUGAGGCAGGAGGAUCACAAGUUCAAAGCCAGCCUCAG
rnacentral:sRNA from 1 species